ACCACCACCAACAAAAACCCAUUCAGCUCAAACCUUAACCCAUAACCUAAUGAUUAUACACACAAAUAAAAUUUUCCUAUCGUGUUCACUGUACGUGAUUUAACCCUUUACUGCAUGGUUAAUUGAGCUCCAAUUUUUAAAUUAAUACUACAAAACAACUAGUUUUCUAUAUAACUGGAAAAAGUUACAUAGUUACAUAAAGUGACAGUUACUUUAACUUCGACAUAACAAAAAAAGUGCCAUCUCAUACAUUUUGUGUCAUUUUUUGACUAUAUGCUAAAUUAUUUGACUAUAUAUACACUGUAUGACUAUACUUUCCACCAUUGCACAUUGUUGCCAUGAAGCAACAAUUUACCAACUACACCCCCUAAUAUAUAUAUUUUUUAUUUAUUGAACCAAUUCAUAGAACGUUCGCCUCACACCGCCAGGGUUGGGGGUUCGAUUUCCGCCGCGGCCCUGUGUGUGUGGAGUUGUCUUGAAUAAUUGCUUGAGGACAGUGUUUCAUAAGAGGUUAUUAAUGGUUUAAUGCCAUUGUUUUAAUGUAAUAUUUAUAUAAACCUUUAACUUUUGAAAUAAAAGUAUUUAAAACCACAUUACCAUGUUCUGUUACAGGUAAAUAGACUGUGUCAAAGUGAUUAGCACGUUCGUCUCACACCUCCAGAGUUGAGAGUUCGAUUCCCACCACUACCCUGUGUGUGCGGUGUUUGCAUGUUCUCCCCGUGCUGCGGGGGGUUCCUCCGGGUACUCCGGUUUCCUCCACCAGUCCAAAGACAUGUAUGACUGAUUGACGGUUCAGACGUGAGUGUGAUGACUACAGAAAAUGGAAAAUGGAACGGAAUAUGCGUAUUGGAAAAGACCAGGACUUGCAUGGAGAAAUAAUUCUGUACAUCAUCACCACCACUAGCAUCACUACCACCACCACCAUCAUUUUCAUCAUCUCAUCAUUGAUAGUGAAUAACAGGGAAAUUUAUAUAUUAAACCGACUGUAAAUCCCUAAAUGCGAUAAUGUUUGAAACAAUAAUUUUGGUACAUUCUGCUGGCUUCUUUCAUAGUCACUUGCUGAGUUUACAGAGUUGAAUAGGUCAGUCCUGGUAACACCAUUAAGAAAAGAGAGAAAAUUGUGCGAGUUCCCACAAUCCUGAAGAAACAACCACUAUUUCUUCAAACCCACAACCACUGAUUAUUCUCUGCUCUUCUUUACUGAUUUUCAGUAAUACCACGUGCAAGCAUACAUCUAUCCAUCCAUUUUCUG
ensembl:lncRNA